GUCCAGCAGGAGAGAAAUUCCCAGACUGCUUAGCAAACGGAGAGAACUCCCAUCUCAUAAAAGAGAAAAACUGAAAAAACCUAGAAAAAAACUUAAAAAAAACCGAGUAUUAAAACGUUAUUUUUAUUGAUUUCAUCAAACAUAUUGUCUUCUGCAGCUUUAAGCAUUCUGCAGACACUUCAUAGUAUGACAGCAAAUAUCUUACCGGCGUAGUGCGUAACUGCAAAUAUGACACAUAUCCAUAUGCAACAAACGGUAUUUUUGCAAAAGCAGAUGACGAAGACCUAAUUAUGUUUGGUUGUCUUGGAGUGUGCGCGCAAGAGUAAAAUUCUAAUUUCUGAAAAUCUGUUUUGCUCAGAAAAUGCUAAAUAAACCAAUACAAAUAAAUUUGCCAGCUAUAUUUUAAAGCAAAACAAUUUUGACCUAUUAAUAUUUCAUUAAUUGUCCCACUCUCGUGUCCGACUACAUCUUCGUUCACCAAAGAGUUAGCCAGUCUAAAGAACCUAAACUAGACUAUUU
rnacentral:lncRNA from 1 species